ensembl:lncRNA
GCUAUUUACCGAUGGACUAUGUACAGCUGCAGCGAUCGGUUAGCUGCUCAGAUAGCAGAUGUUUAAAGUUGGUGAGGGAGAUAAAAGUCUCCAACUUCAGCGAUUUUUGCAAUUCGUUCCAGUCACAGGCAGCAGAGAACUGGAAGGAAAGGCUAAUUAAUCCUAUAAAAAUAGUAGAUUUACUCAACAAGAAGGUCUGAUUUCAUUACUACUGAAACAGGACCCAGGUGGUAUAAAGAUCAAUUUAAACAACUGGAGGCCUCUUACACUUCAAUGUUGUGUUUGAAAAUCCUGGUGAAAUGCAUAACACAGAGAAUAAAAAGGUUUUGACCAGGUAUUGUUCAUCCUGAUCAGACUGGUUUUUACCAGGUAUUGUUCAUCCCGAUCAGACUGGUUUUUACCAGGUAUUGUUCAUCCCGAUCAGACUGGUUUUUACCAGGUAUUGUUCAUCCCGAUCAGACUGGUUUUUACCAGGUAUUGUUCAUCCUGAUCAGACUGGUUUUUACCAGGUAUUGUUCAUCCUGAUCAGACAGGUUUUUACCAGGUAUUGUUCAUCCUGAUCAGACUGGUUUUUACCAGGUAUUGUUCAUCCUGAUCAGACAGGUUUUGACCAGGUAUUGUUCAUCCUGAUCAGACAGGUUUUGACCAGGUAUUGUUCAUCCUGAUCAGACAGGUUUUUUACGUGGACGAUACAUUGGAGAUAAUAUACGACAACUACUGGAACCAACUGAACAUUACGCAACAUCUAAGAUACCAGGCCUGGUCUGCAUAGCAGAUUUUUAAAAGGUGUUUGAUAAAGUACAACAAAAAUGUAUAUACAUAACAUUCAGAAAGUAUUCAUACCACUUGAAUUUUCCCACAUUUUGUUAUGUUAAAGCUUUAUUCUAAAAUGUAUAAAAUAGUUUUUCAAUCUACAAACAAUACCCCAUAAUACCAAAGCAGAAACAGGUUUUUAGAAAAUGCUGCAAAUGUAUGAAAAAUACAAAACUAAUAUCCCAUUUACAUCAGUAUUCAGACCCUUUACUCAGUAGUAUUCAGACCCUUUACUCAGUAGUAUUCAGACCCUUUACUCAGUAGUAUUCAGACCCUUUACUCAGUACUUUGUUAAAAUACCUUUUUUUUCAGUAAUUACUGCCUCGAGUCUUGGGUAUAUCGCUAAAACACCUGUAUUUAGGAAUUUCUCCCGUUCUUCUCUGCAGAACCUCUCAAGCUCUGUCAGGUUGGAUGGGGAGCGUCGCUGCACAGCUAUUUUUCAGGUCUCCCCAGAGAUGUUUGAAUCUCUGGGCUCCAGCUGGGCCACUUAAGGACGUUCAGCCACUCCUGCGUUGUCUUUGCUGUGUGCUUAGGGUCGUUGUCCUGUUAGAAGUUGAACCUUCUCCCCAAUCUGAGGUCCUGAGUUCUCUGUUCUCUGAUUAAGGAUCUCUCUGUACUUUGCUUCGUUCAUCUUUCCCUCGAGCCUGACUAGCCUCCCAGUCCCUGCCACUGAAAAACAUUUGCACAACAUGAUGCUGCCACCACCAUGCUUCACCGUAGGGAUGGUGCCAGGUUACCUUCAGACGUGACGCUUGGCAUUCAGGCCAAAGAGUUCAAUCUGGGUUUCAUCAGACCAGAGAAUCUUGUUUCUCAAGGUCUGAGAGUCCUAUAGGCAAACUGUUAUGUGGCUUCCGUCUGGCCACUCCAUCAUAAAGGCCUGAUUGGUGGAGUGGUGCAGAGAUGGUUGUCCUUCUGGAAGGUUCUCCCAUCUCCCCAGAGGAACUCUGGAGCUCUGUCAGAUUGACCAUCGGGUUCUUGGUCACCUAUUUGACCAAGGCCCUUCUCCCCCGAUUGCUUAGUUUGGCCGGGCGGCCAGCUCUAGGAAGAGUCUUGGUGGUUCCAAACUUCUUCCAUUUAAGAAUGAUGGAGGCCACUGUGUUCUUGGGGACCUUCCUCACAUCUAUGCCUCAACACAAUCCUGUCUCUGAGCUCUACGGACAAUUCCUUCAAUCUCAUGGCUUGGUUUUUGCUCUGACAUGCACUGUUAACUGUAGGACCUUUCUAUAGACAGGUGUGUGCCUUUCCAAAUCAUGUCCAAUCAAUUUAAUUUACCAGAGGUGCACUCCAAUCAAGUUGCAGAAACAUCUCAAGGAUGAUCAAUGGAAACAGCUCAAUUUGGAGUCUCAUAGCAAAGGGUCUGAAUACUGAUGUAAAUAAGGUAUUUCUGUUUUUUGUUUUUUUAAUUUGCAAACAUUUCUAAAAAUCUGUUUUCAAUUUGUCAUGAUGGGGUUUUGUGUAGAUUGAGGAGUUUUGAAAUGUGUAUAGUCAAGCUUAGAAUAGGGCUGUGACAUUACAAAAUGUGGAAAAAGUCUAGGGGUCUGAAUCAUUUCCGAAUGCAGUGUAAAUGCCUGGAUUACUUUAACUUUGGUGAUUGUCUUAUACAAUAUGUUAAAGUUAUGUACAGCAACCCCAGGUGUAAAAUAGUAAAUAAUGGUUACUUCUCAAAGUAUUCAGCUUAUUAAGAGGAGUCCAACAAGGUUGUCUGUCUCCAUAUCUAUUUAUUAUCUCCUUUUGAAUUUCUAGCCAUUGAUUCAACAAGAACAUCAAGGGGUUGGAAAUCCAGGGUUUAGAAACUAAAGUGGUACGUUUUUUCUUAAGUCAGCAAUCUGGAUGCCUUCUCAUUGAACAUCUUGGUUACUUUUCUAGCCUCUCUGGACUAAAACCUAACGGGUACCAUAUUACGUAUUGGAUCGUUAAAAAUACAGUGUUUACACUAACUUGUAAUUGACCAAUAAAAUGGACAGAUGGUAAAGUAGACAGAUUUGGUAUUCACAUGUCUAAAAAUAUAAAUGAACUUACCACAAUUAAUUUCAGUAGAAAGUUCGCAAAAAUAGAUAAGAUUCUGCAACCAUGGAGAGGUGAAUACUUGUCUAUUUCUGGAAAAAUCACAUUGACUCUUUGGUCCUGUCACAGUUUACUUACUAAUGGUCUUAUCACAUUGAUUAACUCUUUGGUCCUGUCACAGUUACUAGUUGACUAGUGGCUCUGCCUACUCCAGACAUCUCGUUUUUGAAAUCAUAUUGAUUAACUCUGGUCCUGUCACAGUUACUUACUAGUGGCUCUGCCUACUCCAGACAUCUCGUUUUGAAAUCAUAUGAGCAAAACAAAUAUGUAACUUUAUUUGGAAUGCUAAACCAGAUCAAAUGAAACGUCCCUGUUAAUAUAAUGAAAAGGGGUUUGGGGGCUAAAAUGAUUAAAUAUUAAAGCUUUAAUCCUCUCACUAGAAGCUUCACUAAGUUAAACUGAAACCCUAAAUGGUUCUCCAGUGGAUUAUGAAGAAAGACUCCUCCUUUUUGCCUUUAUACUGGCACACCCUGACCAUAGUUUGCUUUGUCUGUUUCUAUGUUUAGUUUGGUCAGGGUGUGAUCUGAGUGGGCAUUCUAUGUUAUAUGUCUAGUUUGUCUAUUUCUAUGUUUGGCCUGAUAUGGUUCUCAAUCAGAGGCAGGUGUUAGUCAUUGUCUCUGAUUGGGAACCAUAUUUAGGUAGCCUGGUUUGUGUUGGGUUGUGUGGGUGGUUGUCUCCUGUGUCAGUGUUUGUGCCACACGGGACUGUUUUCGGGUUUUCACGUUUCUUGUUUUGUAUUCUGUUCAUGUAUAGUGUCUCUGAUUAAAGAACCAUGGACUUUAACCACGCUGCAUAUUGGUCCUCUCCUUCCCAGGAAGACAUCCCUUACAUAUACAGAUUACAACUUCUCAUUUCCCA